GCGCACAAAGUCUCUUCCUGUCGAUGUGACACGUGUCACUCUGCAAAUCGCAUGUUUCAAUCGUCUCUGUACCGUCUGAUUUAUUUACGUAGCGCGCAUAUAAACUCUUAAUAAUAUUGGGCUUUAUUCAGUAUUGGCCGUUCGGCCCAAAAGUCGAACUCUGAAACCCUUUUUUUUUUGUUUGCGAGUGUCUGUGUUAUUCGGAACGCUGUCCCACGGCGACGGUGACCCUCUGUCUUCUUAGCGACUUCUGAAACAGAAUGAGUUAUGGUUUUUAGGUGAUUAAUCACAUUUAUUCAGACGUCCACUACGAGAUAUUCAAUGCGUUUUUUGGAUCUCAUAGGCGGUGUGUGAUGAGUAUAUAUAGUUGUGAGUAUUCAUCCUCUUCAAUGCAUCUUCUCUUCGUUUCUCUUACAUCAUACAGACAAAAGUUCUUAUGGCUACUCCUAGGGUUUUUCUCUCCGAUCUGAAGUCAGGCAAGUGUUCCUCCGUCGUCGAUGAAGAGCAGACUUUUUCAUCGGGACAAUUAAUCUCGAGAGUGGUUGGAAACCGCCGUCGUUGUUUAGUCGAUCAAACUUCUUCUACUCGGUAAUGAAUUCCGCACCGUUACGAUAGUCUUCUGGAUUCAUGCAUCGUCAUUAACGCAAUCACAUUAACACCAUUUUCUCAAUCGUCGCAAUAUCUUUUUUUUUUUUCGUCGCAAUAUCUCUCAUUCAGUGAAUCCAUUCAUUCAUUCCAUGGUGUGACUCCACUUCUAUAAAUAUGUAAGUUUGCUUCCUAAAGAACAUCAAUUCAAUCCUCUUAAUCACAUGAGAAUUCGUUCCCAAGUAGUUUACAGAACCAGGUACUCCACGACAGUCUUCUGAUGUAUCUACAGCUAAGAAACAUUAUUACUGGGAAAUGAAUAAUGUAGUUGAAUGAAACAAUUGCUUGAAAACUACAAUAACAACAGGUUUUUUGAGGAGGCUCAGCGCAACACAUCACAUGUUGAAAGCAGAGCGCAAAGAUAAUGGUAUCGGAUUUGUUGUUGCAGUGGAGCAUUUGGAUCACCCACGUUCAAAGCUUACAAAUAAAAGUUCACAAACGUCUCCAUGAGCAGUUUGAGGUUUUAAGAUCAACUCGCAAUGGUGUAAGCAGGUUAAUGGUUUGGAGUGCUGUUUAUACCAAAACAUGUUGCAUAUAUGUUCCGGUUAAAGAAGAAGCAUUUUAUAUUGUGGAAAAGGAUGCAGAAGUAGCAAAUAUUGAAACUUCUGGUGCAAUCUGCAAGUCCUAUCGUGAAACUGAUAUGAUGGUCUCUUUAGACAUAGUGCGUGUAUAAAUAUAGUUGCUCAUUGCGUAUAAAGUAUGGUUGCUCACUACAAAAUCGUUUUUGGAUUGUGCAUAAAGUAUAGUUGUUCAUUAGGUAAAUCGUUUUUUGCCUUUUUUCUUCUUGAUUUAAACAAAGUCAAAUUCAUACAGUGAGAUUUUAACUCUAUAUUAAAAAAUAUAGUGAGAUUAAAUUUAUACUUCUAAUAAUAUCA